UUAAAGAGUAAGGGUGCUCAGCGCCCGACCUCCAACCCUUUGUUGUUAAAACUACCUUGUUGCUUUGGCGGGACCGCUCGGUCUCGAGCCGCCGGGGCUUCGGCCCAGGCGAGCGCCCGCCAGAGUUAAACCAAACUCUUGUUAUUUAAACCGGUCGUCUGAGUUAAAUUUUUGAAUAAAUCAAAACUUUCAACAACGGAUCUCUUGGUUCUCGCAUCGAUGAAGAACGCAGCGAAAUGCGAUAAGUAAUGUGAAUUGCAGAAUUCAGUGAAUCAUCGAAUCUUUGAACGCACAUUGCGCCCCUUGGUAUUCCGAGGGGCAUGCCUGUUCGAGCGUCAUUACACCACUCAAGCACUGCUUGGUAUUGGGCGUCCGUCCUUUCGGGGGCGCGCCUUAAAGACCUCGGCGAGGCCUCACCGGCUUUAGGCGUAGUAGAAUUUAUUCGAACGUCUGUCAAUGGAGAGGACUUCUGCCGACUGAAACCUUUUAUAUUUUUCUAGGUUGACCUCGGAUCAGGUAGGGAUACCCGCUGAACUUAAG
rnacentral:rRNA from 1 species